CUGACGAGCGGCGGACGGGUGAGUAAUGCAUAGGAAAUUGCCCAGUAGUGGGGGAUAGCCCGGGGAAACCCGGAUUAAUACCGCAUACGUCCUUCGGGAGAAAGCAGGGGAUCUUCGGACCUUGCGCUAUUGGAUGUGCCUAUGUCGGAUUAGCUAGUUGGUGGGGUAAAGGCCUACCAAGGCGACGAUCCGUAGCUGGUCUGAGAGGAUGAUCAGCCACAUCGGGACUGAGACACGGCCCGAACUCCUACGGGAGGCAGCAGUGGGGAAUAUUGGACAAUGGGGGCAACCCUGAUCCAGCCAUGCCGCGUGUGUGAAUAAGGCUUUCGGGUUGUAAAGCACUUUCAGUGAGGAGGAAAACCUUAUGGUUAAUACCCAUGAGGCUUGA
rnacentral:rRNA from 1 species